rnacentral:rRNA from 1 species
AGUGAACGCUGGCGGUAGGCCUAACACAUGCAAGUCGAACGGCAGCACAGUAAGAGCUUGCUCUUACGGGUGGCGAGUGGCGGACGGGUGAGGAAUACAUCGGAAUCUACUUUUUCGUGGGGGAUAACGUAGGGAAACUUACGCUAAUACCGCAUACGACCUACGGGUGAAAGCAUGGGAUCUUCGGACCUUGCGCGAUUGAAUGAGCCGAUGUCGGAUUAGCUAGUUGGCGGGGUAAAGGCCCACCAAGGCGACGAUCCGUAGCUGGUCUGAGAGGAUGAUCAGCCACACUGGAACUGAGACACGGUCCAGACUCCUACGGGAGGCAGCAGUGGGGAAUAUUGGACAAUGGGCGCAAGCCUGAUCCGGCCAUACCGCGUGGGUGAAGAAGGCCUUCGGGUUGUAAAGCCCUUUUGUUGGGAAAGAAAAGCAGCAGGUUAAUACCCCGCUGUUCUGACGGUACCCAAAGAAUAAGCACCGGCUAACUUCGUG